GGCGCCUUGGCUCAAUCUGGAAGAGCAAUGGUCUCAUGAUCCAUAGGUUCGGGGUUCAAAUCCCCGAGGCGCCA
rnacentral:tRNA from 1 species